UACGUAGGGGGCUAGCGUUGUCCGGAUUUAUUGGGCGUAAAGAGCGUGUAGGCGGCCAGGUAGGUCUGGUGUGAAAACUCGAGGCUUAACCUCGAGAUGUCAUCGGAAACCAUCUGGCUAGAGUCCGGAAGAGGAGAGUGGGGAUUCCUGGUGUAGCGGUGAAAUGCGCAGAUAUCAGGAAGAACACCAAUGGCGAAAGCAGCUCUCUGGGACGGUACUGACGCUGAGACGCGAAAGCGUGGGGAGCGAACAGG
rnacentral:rRNA from 1 species